GUUCGCAGAUUUGAGGAGAAAGCAGCAACUAGGGACUGUGACUCAUUCUGUUUUUAAUUUCUUCUUUUCUGUGCCUAAAUCUGGACGCCGAAGGCCGUUGGCCCAGACUGCUCAGGAGACUGCCCCUCGCUCUCCGACCUUGGUUGGCAACGCCAGGUCGAGUGUUUUUAGCUUCCGACGUUUGGCGAGCUGCCCGAGGGGAGGACCAGAAGAAGGGCUGUUUGCCCGUCGGGUCGCCGGAGUGCGCCCCGAGGAAGGUCCCACGCACCCCUCAGCCUGGGUCCAAGCCAUGCGGUCCCAAAGCUUCCGCGGACAGCUGUGCCCAGCGUGAGGAGGAGCGCAGGGCACCGACGCGGCUAGAACGAUGUGCAGGACCGGGAAGAAGUACGCGGGCCUCUCACCAUUGUGGCCUCUCCCGCCGCGGAGCACAGGCUCUGGACGCGUAGGCCCAGCUGCCACGGCUCACGGGCCCAGCCGCUCCGCGGCAUGCGGGAUCCUCCCGGACCAGGGCAAGAACCCGCG